AGUGCUUUUUAAUUUUCCAACAGCUUUUGUUCUCUCUCCAGUGUUGUUGAAGUAACUAACAACUUUCCUGACUCCUGAGUCACAGAACUUGGCAGCCUGAUGUAAUUUUUAAGUCUAUCACUUUUUUCCCCUCUCUUUUGUUUUUUUUACUUUGGUAGGUUGGUGUUCUUGUCGCAGCUUCGUUGGGCACGCUCGCUGUUUUUGCAGCGAUAGUUGCAGAGAUUUUAAAGGUAGCCUUUUCCUAUU
rnacentral:misc_RNA from 1 species